AUUGCCAUUUGAACUUAGGAUUUAAUUAGGAGAUGGGUCUGCAUUCCUUCUACCAUUUUCUGAUUAUCCUUGCAUUAAUCGCAUCCUUUUUGUUCAUGCUGUCGACUCAAGUUAGUGCAGAUUCGGAGAUUCGGAGAAAGCUUGGGAUCCACCCAAGCCCACCUACUCCACCUUACACCCCCCCAGCACCGAAGCCGGGCGGACGUGGUAAGUAGGCACGUACGCAACGCAAGACAAAAAAUGGGUUGCCUCCUCUUGUAAUAUAUAUGAAUAUCAUAUGUGGAUUUAGCAUUUCAAUUCAUUUAAUAAAAUAAAAUAGUGUUGCUGUGCUAUACUUUUGGUUUU